rnacentral:sRNA from 1 species
GUGCAGCCAGGGGCUUCCGGCCGCGGCCCCGGCGAGUGGUCUGCGCGCGCCCGGCCGUGCGUGCGGAUGCGGGGAGGCUGCGUGUGUGCGCAGGGCGAGAGCGCAGGCCACCUUCCCGCUUCCCAGCUGGGUGCGCGCCGAGCACAGGAGAUUGCCUGCGUUUAGGAGGUAGCUGCAUUGUGGGAAAAGCUAUCAAGGAAGAAAUUGCCAAAUCGUGUUUUUUUGUUUUCAGAGUAGUUCACAACAGAUCUGAGUUUUAAUUAAAGCAUGGAAUACAGAAAACUACAAAAAACUUAAGCUUUAAUUUCAUCUGGAAUUCCACAGAGACAAGGCCACUUUAUGUUUCCCAGGCUGGACCAGAACCCCUGGGCUCAAAUGAUCCUCCUACGUCAGCCUGCAGAGUAGCCAGGACUUCAGUUUUCUUAGCUCCCUGGACCCGGUUGACCUGUUGGCUCUUCCCGCUGGCUGCUCUAUCACGUGGUGCUCUCGGACUACUCACCCCGAGUGUAAAGUCCUGCUGCUCUGUUGCCCAGGCUGGAGUGCAGUGGCAGGAUCUCAGCUCACUGCAAU